AUUGAACGCUGGCGGUAUGCUUAACACAUGCAAGUCGAACGGUAACAGGCCUUCGGGUGCUGACGAGUGGCGGACGGGUGAGUAACGCGUAGGAAUCUGCCUCAUAGUGGGGGACAACGUGGGGAAACUCACGCUAAUACCGCAUACGCCCUACGGGGGAAAGCGGGGGAUCUUCGGACCUCGCGCUAUGAGAUGAGCCUGCGUUAGAUUAGCUAGUUGGUAGGGUAAAGGCCUACCAAGGCGACGAUCUAUAGCUGGUCUGAGAGGACGAUCAGCCACACUGGGACUGAGACACGGCCCAGACUCCUACGGGAGGAAGCAGUGGGGAAUAUUGGACAAUGGGCGCAAGCCUGAUCCAGCAAUACCGCGUGUGUGAAGAAGGCCCUAGGGUUGUAAAGCACUUUCAAUAGGGAGGAAAACCUGCCGGUCAAUACCCGGCAGCUUGACAUUACCUAUAGAAGAAGCACCGGCUAACUCCGUGCCAGCAGCCGCAGUAACAC
rnacentral:rRNA from 1 species